AGUCACGUGUUAAGCACAAAGCCAAUUAUUCUUUCGCAUUUUACUAAAGAAUAAUCUGUGCUUGUCGUAAAUAGUGACACAUGUGUAUCUUUGGAAGAGACUUCCUCUUUGGGGUU